rnacentral:rRNA from 1 species
AGAGCGAACGCUGGCGGAAUGCUUAACACAUGCAAGUCGCACGGGCAGCAAUGUCAGUGGCGGACGGGUGAGUAUCGCGUAGGAAUAUGUCCGGAGGUGGGGGACAACCCUGGGAAACUGGGGCUAAUACCGCAUAUGAGCUGAGGCUCAAAGCAGUGAUGCGCCUUUGGAGUAGCCUGCGUCCGAUUAGCUUGUUGGUGGGGUAAAGGCCUACCAAGGCGACGAUCGGUAGCUGGUCUGAGAGGACGACCAGCCACACUGGGACUGAGACACGGCCCAGACUCCUACGGGAGGCAGCAGUGGGGAAUAGUUGGACAAUGGGCGCAAGCCUGAUCCAGCAAUUCCGCGUGGGUGAAGAAGGUCUUCGGAUUGUGAAGCCCUUUCGGACGGGACGAUGAUGACGGUACCGUAAGAAGAACGCCCCGGCUAACGUUCGUGCCAGCAGCCGC